GCCGCAGUUUCCUGUGCUAAGGUAGCGCAAUAACUUGCCUUCUAAUUAAAGGAUCGUAUGAAAGGACACAUGACUUUCUUAUUUUCUCAUAUAUUUAAAAUAAAUUUAACCUACAAGUAAAAAGACUUGUAUUAACAAGAAAGACGACAAGACCCUAUAGAACUUCACUAUUGUUAAACUGGGGUGGUCAACAACAAAAGCUUAUCUUCCCGAACCACACAAAGACCUGAAACUUUCAACAAAAGAACAAGUUACCUUAGGGAUAACAGAGUAAUUCCUCUCUAGACCUGUUCCAAAGAGGAGCUUUCUACCUCGAUGUUGAAUUUAAUAUUACUUCAUAAAUAAACAUUAUACAAGUAGGUCUGUUCGACCUUUAAAAUAUUACAUGAU
rnacentral:rRNA from 1 species